GUACUUACCUGGACGGGGUCGACGGGCGAUCAAGAAGGCCCGUGGCCUAGGUCAAUGGCCCGCAUUGCACUUUGGCUGGGCGCGUUGGCUUACCAUCUCCCCACAGUGGGAGAGUGGACGUCGUUAUUUGUGCUAGAGGGGGUACGCGUCCGCGCGGCCCCUG